GUGCCGCGCGACCGCCCGGCCGCCCCGGGGAGGCGGCGGCUAUUGUUCCCCGCGGGGGAGGGAGGUGCUCAGACUCGGGGUCCACGCCAGCCUCCUCCCCAGAGUGUCCCCACAUCUGAGGACGGGUGGGGGCUUCCUUUGUGUGUUUUGGGCCUGCGACGGGAAUGGCGCGCCGUUGCCGCCCCAAGGGGCCGCAGAAGGGGCCGAGAGGUUGGUGCCAGCGCUGUCGCUACUUCGAGCUCGGCCCAACCGACCGACCCAGUUUCCCGCUCUGCCCUUGCGGAAGAGACGGGGAGGGAUGUGGUAUUUGUAGGGCAUGCGCUUGGAACAAUAGAGCCAUCAAAAGGCCUUCUCCCUGGUCUCCUCCCAAGGCAGCUAGGCUCUUCUCCCCUCUUUCGGAAAGGCCGUGGCCCAACAGGUCCUCUUGGCCUGAUUUUAGGCCUGCUUUCCCAGUAAAAACACUUCAUCUGUUCUCCACAAAUCCUAAUUUAAAGUCUCCUCCUUGGACUCUUACUGAUGUAAACAUCCCAUUUUCAUUAUUUUCCAGAUAUUAUUCUUCCAUAAAUUGAUCCAGACUACCAUAGGAACCAGUCAAGAUAUUUUGCCACAGGAUCUAGGACAAGAGGAUUUACCUACUAUUGCCCACCUUGCAAAUCUCCUAGGGACCUUUCACCUGCUUCUGCUACUGCAAAUGAUUGGACAUCCAUUUACAUUUCCUCUUCUUCAUGUGUGGAAGGAAACUUUUGUUCACUGUGCUUCAGGCUGCCCCUGGCCUGAAAGUGGGUCCUUGAAUUCCCCUUGUACCAUUCCAACUUGCCAAGGUGGUUAUGAGACCUGAGGGAGGUGUUUAGGCGUGGACUUUGGGCCAGGUGUGUAAAUCCAUUUGGUACCAACUUUGGGCCCCAAGGAUAAGGGCAUGUGUAGCUGCACCAGAAGAGAGGGGAACAGUGAAAACUAAAAUUUCACCCUCUGUGAUGAUCUUCACCACCACCAGUACCAACAAUGUUGUAAGUACAGAGGAUUCACCUACCCAGUCGUUUUUCCUCUCCAUCCGGGCCCUCUGCAAGAGUGAGCCAGUGCUCAGAGAUGGUGGAGGGUAUGGCUGGUGACUCAGUCUCAACUGUGUCUCAACUGUGUCCAAAGUGUCUAGGGAGAAGUCUGCUCACCGGUAGCUAUAUCCUCUCUGGGAAGGCACAGUGCCCUAAAGUGGUGAGGCUGUAGGCCUGUGGGAACUGGGGCCUCCUGCCCCUCUUUUUAUUUUUAUUUAAUACUCACAAACUUCUCUUCAUUCCCCCCCUUUUUUUCCCUUACAGUUUCUGAAAGAAGGACGGAAGUAACACCAAGAACUCCCAGAUGAAGAGGACCUUCCUGGAUCUGUAACUGGGAUUAACCAGUUCUUUACUGGGAGAGAAAGUUUCAACUAAUCCUCAGGAUAAAAGCAAACAGGCCUGUGACUGUCCCUUGAACACUGACAGUGUAAACAAGCUUCUGGCUCCUCCAGGUCAAGCAGAGCAACACUUUUCAUUAGAAUGUUGGGUUUCUUCUUUGUUAUUCAAACAUACACCCACACACAUCCCCUUGUCCCUCCCUAAUGAACAAACCUCAACAGAUGGAGAGCCUAGGCU
rnacentral:lncRNA from 1 species